rnacentral:lncRNA from 1 species
AUGCUGGCUCCCAGAGCCAUGGAGGGUGGAGGGGCUCCUGCCCGCCCCCUGCUCUCCAGGACUGCCCCCCCCCCCCACCGAGGGCCAGGACGUGUCCUGGGAGGGAGACCUUGGCACUCCAUGCUCUUCCACCUGAGGCUGAGAAACUGGGUCUCUGCAGACGGGGCGCAAGCCACUGACCCUCCCCUCUGCCCCCUGGCCAGCAUUACUGGCCGGCAGGGGCCUGUUGGCAUCCUGGGAGAGGCUUGGGUCUGGCAAUGCCAGGUCGGGGGAGGGGGGGUCUCGUCCACUGCCCGAAGCCAGGUGCAGGGUCACGGGGCUCAGCUGGACCACCUCGGCCGGAGCCGUGUCAGGAGCUGUGUCCAGGCCUCAGAACCCCCUCACUGCAGGGUCAGGGCAGGACGGCCUCCUCCGGUGGAGGGAGCAGCAUCCGGGAACCUUGGGAGUUGGAGCUGGCCAGGAGGCGUCUUCCCGCUGCAGCCAGAUGGUUCUCUGGGGACCCUCCGGGGAGCCGUGUUUCCGGAAGGCGGCCUGGGACUCUUCCAGGCCCUGCCUGGGGGACGCACGCUGCUGCAGUCUCGCAGGCCUUUCUGUGGGCUGACUCCAGCCCCUCCCUCCUGGCUGGGCUCCCCGGACCACCCCGAACACAUCCCCACUGCCCCCGCGUUCCCACAGCGACAUCUGUGUCUGGAGCUGCAGGGGAGAGGCUGCUGGCCUGCGGGGUACACCUCCCCCUGCCCCAGUCUUUGCUCUCUUUGGGAGAUGCCAUGUGCAAGGCAGCUGUGCUGGCACCUCCGAGCACGCAGCCAUGUGCCCACCACCGUGGGGGUGGCCUUUUCUCUAGAAUUCUGUGCACAUCAUUGGUUUCUGCUGGUUUGGUGGCCUGGCUCCUUGCGCGAGUGUCGGGCCCUGGCGGCUGUGCGGACGCAGAGGCCCUGGGGCACUGGCUGGGGUCUCUGGAGCUUGGUGUGCAGGUGGCAAAGCACGGUGUGUGGGCCUCCGGCCCUCUCGGCGCUGGUGAAGCUGUGA